UACGGAGGGUGCAAGCGUUUAUCCGGAUUCACUGGGUUUAAAGGGAGCGUAGGUGGGAAUGUAAGUCAGUGGUGAAAUCUCCGUGCUUAACACGGAAACUGCCAUUGAUACUAUGUUUCUUGAAUUUUUCUGGAGGUUAGCGGAAUAUGUCAUGUAGCGGUGAAAUGCUUAGAUAUGACAUAGAACACCAAUUGCGAAGGCAGCUAACUACAGGGAUAUUGACACUGAGGCUCGAAAAGCGUGGGGGAUCAAACAGG
rnacentral:rRNA from 1 species